AUGAACGCUAGCGGCAGGCCUAAUACAUGCAAGUCGAACGGUAUAAGUUGUAGCAAUAUGACUUAGAGAGUGACGUAAGGGUGCGUAACACGUAUGCAAUCUACCCUCAACAGGAGUAUAGCUCGGGGAAACUCGGAUUAACACUCCAUAAUAUCAUUGGGAGGCAUCUUCUGAUGAUUAAAACUUUGGUGGUUGAGGAUGAGCAUGCGUCUGAUUAGUUAGUUGGUGAGGUAACGGCUCACCAAGACGAUGAUCAGUAGGGGAACUGAGAGGUUGAUCCCCCACACUGGCACUGAGAUACGGGCCAGACUCCUACGGGAGGCAGCAGUAGGGAAUAUUGGUCAAUGGGUGAGAGCCUGAACCAGCCAUGCCGCGUGCAGGAGGACGGCCUUCUGGGUUGUAAACUGCUUUUAUCUGGGGAUAAAAAGGCCUUGCGAGGCACAUUGAAGGUACCAGAUGAAUAAGCACCGGCUAACUACGUG
rnacentral:rRNA from 1 species